rfam:Setaria italica strain Yugu1 chromosome III, whole genome shotgun sequence.
CCUGGAUCUAUGAUGCAACUAUUAACUGCGUUAUCUUUCUGCAACCUUUAAGGUGCUGAAGAAUACAUUACCUGCUGAGAUCCAUG